UAGGGAAUUUUCGGCAAUGGACGAAAGUCUGACCGAGCAACGCCGCGUGAGUGAAGAAGGUUUUCGGAUCGUAAAACUCCGUUGUUAGAGAAGAACAAGGACGUUAGUAACUGAACGUCCCCUGACGGUAUCUAACCAGAAAGCCACGGCUAACUACGUGCCAGCAGCCGCGGUAAUACGUAGGUGGCAAGCGUUGUCCGGAUUUAUUGGGCGUAAAGCGAGCGCAGGCGGUUUCUUAAGUCUGAUGUGAAAGCCCCCGGCUCAACCGGGGAGGGUCAUUGGAAACGGGGAGACUUGAGUGCAGAAGAGGAGGGUGGAAUUCCAUGUGUGGCGGUGAAAUGCGUAGAUAUAUGGGGGAACACCAGUGGCGAAGGCGGCUCUCUGGUCUGUAACUGACGCUGAGGCUCGAAAGCGUGGGGAGCAAACAGG
rnacentral:rRNA from 1 species